GAGUUAGUGCUCAUCUUGAUUGAUAAUGCUAUGCUGAUGUUUGAAUCAUGAGGAUUUUCCACCAUGCUGUUUAUAUGCUGUUGUAAUUGCUGACCAAGUUUUGGUGUGGAUGUUGGUAACUACACAUGUAUGCCCUACUGUUGUUUUGCAUGAACAUAACCAUGUCCAGAAAUUCACCUUGUUUCAUAUUCUGUUUGUUGGUUGACAUUGCCUAAUGAUGAUGUUACCUUAUCAUGAUGGAUCAUUGAUGCUGUUUUAUUGUUUGAUCAUGUCCUGCUAUAUG
rnacentral:lncRNA from 1 species